rnacentral:rRNA from 1 species
AGAUUAAGUUAUUAAGGGCGCACGGUGGAUGCCUUGGCACUAGAAGCCGAUGAAGGACGUUACUAACGACGAUAUGCUUUGGGGAGCUGUAAGUAAGCUUUGAUCCAGAGAUUUCCGAAUGGGGAAACCCAGCAUGAGUUAUGUCAUGUUAUCGAUAUGUGAAUACAUAGCAUAUCAGAAGGCACACCCGGAGAACUGAAACAUCUUAGUACCCGGAGGAAGAGAAAGAAAAUUCGAUUCCCUUAGUAGCGGCGAGCGAAACGGGAAGAGCCCAAACCAAMAAGCUUGCUUGUUGGGGUUGUAGGACACUCUGUACGGAGUUACAAAGGACGACAUUAGACGAAUCAUCUGGAAAGAUGAAUCAAAGAAGGUAAUAAUCCUGUAGUCGAAAAUGUUGUCUCUCUUGAGUGGAUCCUGAGUACGACGGAGCACGUGAAAUUCCGUCGGAAUCUGGGAGGACCAUCUCCUAAGGCUAAAUACUC